rnacentral:rRNA from 1 species
GACGAACGCUGGCGGUGUGCUUAACACAUGCAAGUCGAACGGGCCCGCCCCUGUUUUUGGGGGUGGGUUGAGUGGCGAACGGGUGAGUAUCACGUGAGUAACCUGCCCCCUGCUCCUGGAUAACUGCUUGAAAGGGCGGCUAAUACGGGGUGUGCCGGCUGGUCCGCAUGGGCCUGGUCGGGAUAGUUUCAUCUUCGGGUGUUUCGGUGGGGGAUGGGCUCGCGGCCUAUCAGCUUGUUGGUGGGGUGAUGGCCCACCAAGGCGGUGACGGGUAGCCGGCCUGAGAGGGUGGGCGGCCACACUGGGACUGAGACACGGCCCAGACUCCUGCGGGAGGCAGCAGUGGGGGGUAUUGCACAAUGGGCGGAAGCCUGAUGCAGCGACGUCGCGUGAGGGAUGGAGGCCUUCGGGUUGUGAACCUCUUUCUCCGGUGGUGAAGGCCCUGUCCGUUGCGGCGGGGUUGACGGUAGCCGGGUAUGAAGCGCCGGCUAACUACGUG